rnacentral:rRNA from 1 species
GGGGGAAAAUUAAUAAAAAUAAAAUUAAUAAAAUAAAUUUUUAAGUUAAAAAUAAAUAAUGGGGGUUAAAGUAUUUUUAAUAGAAAAAAUUUGAAAUUUUAUAGGGAAAUAGUAUUGUAAGAGAAAUUUGAAAUAAAUUAAAAAUUAAUUGAGAAAAAAGAAAAUUUAAUUUAUUGUAUCUUGUGUAUCAGAGUUUAUUAAAUAAUUUUUUUUUAAAAAAAAGUCUCGAAUUUAAAAGAAUUAAUUAAUUAUAAAAGUUAAUGUAACAUAAUUAUUUUAAAUAAUUAAUUAGAAAUGAAAUGUUAAUCGUUUUUAAAUAUAUCUAGUUAUUUUAGAAAAAAAUUUAAUUUUGAAUUUUAAUAAUUUUAUAAUUUAAUAAUGAUAAUUAUAAAAAUUUAAAUUUAAUAUUUUAAGGGAUAAGCUUUAAAUUAAAAAUUUAUAAUAAAAAAAAAUAAAUAUUAAAAUUUUUAAAAUUUAUAUUGUUUAAAAAUUAUAAUUUAUUAUAAGAAAUUUUAAUAAAAAUAAAAUUUAAAAUAAAAUAUAUUUAAAUUUAUAUAAAAUAAUAAUUUUUAAUGAAAAAAAGUUAUUAAUAAUGAUAAAAUUAGUAUAAAUAAUAUAAAAAAAUUAAAUUUAAAAAUUAAAAUUAAUUAAAAGGAAUUCGGCAAAAUAAAUAUUCACUUGUUUAUCAAAAACAUGUCUUUUUGAUUAUAAUUUAAAGUCUAAUCUGCCCACUGAUAAAUAUUAAAGGGCUGCAGUAUAUUGACUGUACAAAGGUAGCAUAAUCAUUAGUUUUUUAAUUGAAAACUUGUAUGAAGGAUUUGAUGAAAUAUAAACUGUCUCUUAAUUAUUAUUAAAAAUUUAUUUUUUAGUAAAAAAGCUAAAAUAAUUUUAAAAGACGAGAAGACCCUAUAGAGUUUUAUAUUUUAUUUAUUAUUAAAAUUAUAUAAAAAUUAAAAUUAAUAUUAAAUAAAAUAUUGUAUUGGGGUGAUAGAAAAAUUAAAAUAACUUUUUUUAAAAAUUAACCAUAAAUAAAUGAAUAAAUGAUCCAUAUAUAAUGAUUAUAAGAAAAAAUUACCUUAGGGAUAACAGCGUAAUAUUUUUUUUUAGUUCAAAUAAAAAAAAAAGUUUGCGACCUCGAUGUUGGAUUAAGAUAAAAUUUAAAUGCAAAUGUUUAAAAUUUUGAUCUGUUCGAUCAUUAAAAUCUUACAUGAUCUGAGUUCAAACCGGUGUAAGCCAGGUUGGUUUCUAUCUUUAAAGAAAAAAAAUAUUUUAGUACGAAAGGAUCAAAUAUUUAAAAUAAUUUUAAUAAAAGAAUGUUAUUAAAUAAUUGGUAAAUUUUA